rnacentral:rRNA from 1 species
GACGAACGCUGGCGGCGUGCUUAACACAUGCAAGUCGAACGGAAAGGCCCUGCUUGCAGGGUGCUCUCGUGGCGAACGGGUGAGUAACACGUGGGUGUUCUGCCCCUUACUCUGGGAUAAGCCUGGGAAACUGGGUCUAUUACUGGAUAGGACCAUGCCGUCGGUGGUGUGGUGGAUGGAUUAGUUUCGGUAAGGGAUGAGGUCGCGGCGUAUCAGCUUGUUGGUGGGGUAAUGGCCGACCCAGGCGGCGACGGGUGGCCGGGCUGAGGGGGGGGUCGGCGACAUUGUGGCUGAGGUACGGCGCAGAAGCCUACGGGGGGCAGCAGUGGGGAGGAAUGCACAAUAAUGGGAGGCCGGAUGAAGCGACGCCGCGGGGUGGAUGACGGCGGUCGUGUUGUAAACUCCCGUCAGCCAUUGCGAAGCCGUUGUGGUGACGGUAGUGGGAGAAGAAGCACCGGCUAACUACGUG